CUCACCCUGCCAGACGCGAAUUUAUAAAACCCUACUAUAGCACUACACUCGGCCAAAAAGUCGAGUGUAUAAAGCCCCAUUGUAGCAAAGGGGAUCGGGGGAGGAAAAGGAGCCAACGACAAUCCUAAAAAACCAGCAUUCAAAAACCCUAGAAAAAAAUCCCUAGGCAGCCAAGAAACCACAAUCGGUAGAUCAAAAAUCCUAAGCUUCCUAGCAGCCACAACAAUCCACAAAAAUCAAAGAAAUAUACCAAAAAAUGAAUACCAAAAAAUCAUAAAAUAUGCACAAUGAGAGGGGGAGAAUGGUUGGGUUUUUUGGGUGAAUUUUUGGUUGAUUUUUAGGGGGGAUAAAGCUUAGGUAUUUACCGCCGGUAAGAGUGGGUAAAGCUUGGGUUAUUUGCCGCCGAUUAGGAGGGAUAAAGCUUGGGUAUUUGCUGCCGGUUAGAGUGGGUAAAGCUUGGGUUAGUUGCCGUCGGUUAUGGGGGAUAAAGCUUGGGUAUUUGCCGCCGAUUAGAGUGGGUAAAGCUUGGGUUAGUUGCCGUUGGUUAGGAGGGAUAAAACUGGGGUAUUUACUGUCGAUUAGAGUGGGUAAAGCUUGGGUUAGCUGUCGCCGAUUGUAGAGGGAACCGGGGCUUGAGUACUAGCUAUCGACGACGUCGAGCGGCUGCAGCGAGAAUAGAUUUGGAGUUAGUGUCGGCCGGUGGUACACAUAGAGAGAGAGAAACCCGACCGGCGGCUUGGUAGAGAAGGGAGAGAGUUUGGGUUCUAGAGAGAGAAAGUGAGAAGAAAAAAGAGAGAAAAGAAAGUUUUUAUAGCUAGGGUCUGUUUGGGUUAGGAGAGGAUCAUACGACGCCGUUUCAUUCAAGGAGAACCACACCAAAACGACGUCGUUUCAAGAAAAGGGGAGCUGAGUCUUGAAUUUGGCUAGCGGGCUUUUGCUGGGCUGAUAUUCUUUGGGCUUGGUUGGGUUUAAGCUUUGGGUAAGUUUAUUUUAAAACCUUUAAACUAUUGAACAUUUGCAUUGGUUGAUUUUAUUUUUAGGAAUUUUUUAAAAAUAUAUUUUAUGUUAAUAAAAUGGUACAAAUAUGAAUUUGAGGAAUUUUAGGAAAGCAAAAUCAUAGAAACACAAAAAAUAUAUAUAUAUGAAAAUAGAUAAGGAUAAAAAUAAAUUGUGAAAAAUUAAAAUCGAAAAAUAUAAAAAAAAUGGAAAUGAAUGGAAUGGAUGAUAGGCUAAAAAAUAUUUAGAUUAAAUUAAGAAAAAAUUGGAAAUUAUUGAAAUAUUGGUGGGGUAAUCUUAGGUAAAAAUAUAUGAAAGUGCAUGUAAAAUAUGUUUAUACAUUAGAUCGGAAGAAUAUGUUUAGUGAAUGAGAAUAAACAAGGAAGAAACAUUUUAUGUUAAAUAAAAGAUAAUAAUAAGUUGAGUUAGUCAAAUAAUCAUAAUAGGAUAGGUAUUAGAAUCGACCUUAGAAAAUCGAAUUUUAAGAUGCCACGAUAUUAAUUAUAGGAGUAAUAUAUAAAUACCGAUGAUGGGAUGAUUGGUCGGGACGGGAGGAGUCGUAAUCCCGAGUUAAUUUUUCCUAGGUUCGGAAUUCGAAUCAAGGCCCCACCAAUAUGAUGGGAGGGUCUCGAUUUUGAUAUUCUGAGAUUUUUAUUUUAAAUAAAUAAAAAUUUUACUACAUAAAAAUUAGUUAAAAAUAAUAAAUAAAAAAAAUAAAAAAAUAAAAAUAAAUGCUAUAUUUAAUUUGUUCAAGAAAAUAUAAUAAUAAUAAAAUAAGAAUAAAUUUCAAAAAGCAUAGCAUAUAUAUAUAUAUAUAUAUAUUGCAUCAUGCAUAUCAUUGCAUAUAAAUAUUUUUGUUUUCGAGUUUAAGCCCCGAUGAUGGGAUCUCCCGGAGAUCUUGCGAAGACGGGUAUUCCUCGAAAAGUUCUCUAGAUGAAAAGGUAUCCUCGGGUCCCACCAAUAUGAUGGGAGGGCUCGAGAAACAUAUUUAAUAACAAGCUUUUGCUCGUAUUAGGUUCAUUAUUCAUGAAAAUAUUAUUUUUUAACGAAAAAUGUAUGAUAACCCCGAUGGUAGGAUUUAUUCGUUGAAUUUGUGAAGGUGAAUUUCUUGGAUAAUUUUUUAGGUGAGAGAACACCCCGGAUCCCACCAGUAUGAUGGGCGGAUUCGAGAGAACGUCCUCAAUAAAAGGUUAUUCGUCCAACAUAUUUUUAUCUCACACCAUGCAUUUCAUCUUGCCUCACACUUGCAUUUCAUUUUAGAAUCAAAUAAAAUAAUUUAAUAAAAUUGGAGAUAAAAUAAGUAAAUAAUAGUUAAGGAAAUAAAAUGAACUUAAAAAAAUAAGACCUAAUAGGAUAAUCUAAAAAUGGUACCGUUCAUGGAACAGGAGUUUCGAGGGUGCUAAUCCUUCUCCGGGCGUAACCGUACUCCCGAACUUAGAUAUAAAAAAAAUGUAGACUAGUUUAAGAUUCUUUCGACGGGCUUAAAUCUAAUUAAGAUUCUGUCGAUUAGAAUCGAGUCAAUAGGUGGUCAAUCACACAUAGUAAAAAAGAUUGAUGAUGACUUUUAAUUUUUUAAAGUUUUCACUCACGUCUGAUGAUCGGGUCCUCGGAUCCACAUAUUACGAUAGACUGUAUCUGCCAGAAAAUAUUGUCUACCUGUUUUGUUCCCGUCGUAGCACAAAUCUCAAUUCGGAAAACAAUAUGUAAAAUGUUUUUAGGACCCCCCACCCACCCACUUUGUUGGACUCAAAAGAGGUUAUCUUGGCUCUCUGCUCUCUAGUGGUGGCCAAAGCCCAUCCACAUAGAUUUUGCUUUAUUUUAGCAGGGGGUCCAGGGUACUUUGGAGGGCCCGUUGGAUUAGUUUCGUGGAUGAGAAUGCCCGGUCUCUCCCUCUCAUUAAUCAUGAUGGUAGAAAAAAAAAAACAAAAAUUUCCAACUUUUUCCUGCACUUUUUGGGGCUCUUGGUGAAUGAUAUUUCUAUAUUUUGGCAUUUCAUUGUUGUUAGGCUUCUCAACUCGAUUUCAACUGGCCUUUGGUGGGCCAAAGCUGACUUGAGCUGAGACUGACUGUUAAUGCUUGGAGGGUGAUAAUGAGGUCCACUUGAGAUCAGAUCUGAAAAGGCCAAUGGUCCAGUUAAGAUUGGGCCGACUUAGAGCGAAGAAUCCAAAGACUUAGGGACAUUUUCUAAUGCUCUAGCCUCCAGGAGUGCUUGCAGGACCCGAAAUUGAAAUCAAGUAAAACUUGUUGUUAUUGCAGAUGAAUCAGGAUUAUUCCAAGUCAUACAAACAUUUUCUACACAUGACAAUGAAAUUUCCAAACUAAGUAGAAUUCAAUGGCUCUGGUUUCCAGAAAUGAAAAAGAAAAGACCAAUUAACUACAAUCACAAGUUUUGGAAAUAGAAUUUUGUGCAUGUUUUGAAGCCUCUUCUAACUUGCUUGUUUUGACAUCCUUUAGAACAUUUCUAGCCCACUCUGCAAAAUGGGUCUCAUUGUAUCCAAUCCUGCCACUUUUGUAGAGUGACAUACAGCGACGAUCAUCGUCUGAGUAGGGGCAGUUUUCCCCGUCGGGGUCUCUCCAAUCGCCUCGGUGCCUCAUUCCAGACCAGCUAGCCAUCCAAUGAUACACGUACUGGCCUACGCCAGCAAGUUUUAGCCAUCCU
rnacentral:lncRNA from 1 species